GCCAGUGUAGCUCAGUGGUAGAGCAGCUGUUUCGUAAACAGCAGGUCGUCGGUUCAAUCCCGACCACUGGCUCCA
rnacentral:tRNA from 5 species